GUGUAAACAGCAACCAGACAACCACACCUGAGAGGAGCUCCUAACCAAGGUGUAAACAGCAACCAGACAACCACACCUGAGAGGAGCUCCUAACCAAGGUGUAAACAUCAACCAGACAACCACACCUGAGAGGAGCUCCUAACCAAGGUGUAAACAUCAACCAGACAACCACACCUGAGAGGAGCUCCUAACCAAGGUGUAAACAUCAACCAGACAACCACACCUGAGAGGAGCUCCUAACCAAGGUGUAAACAUCAACCAGACAACCACACCUGAGAGGAGCUCCUAACCAAGGUGUAAACAUCAACCAGACAACCACACCUGAGAGGAGCUCCUAACCAAGGUGUAAACAUCAACCAGACAACCACACCUGAGAGGAGCUCCUAACCAAGGUGUAAACAUCAACCAGACAACCACACCUGAGAGGAGCUCCUAACCAAGGUGUAAACAUCAACCAGACAACCACACCUGAGAGGAGCUCCUAACCAAGGUGUAAACAUCAACCAGACAACCACACCUGAGAGGAGCUCCUAACCAAGGUGUAAACAUCAACCAGACAACCACACCUGAGAGGAGCUCCUAACCAAGGUGUAAACAUCAACCAGACAACCACACCUGAGAGGAGCUCCUAACCAAGGUGUAAACAUCAACCAGACAACCACACCUGAGAGGAGCUCCUAACCAAGGUGUAAACAUCAACCAGACAACCACACCUGAGAGGAGCUCCUUACCAAGGUGC